UACAUACAAAUUUAUAUAAUAUUGUACUGUAAUUUUUACUCGUUGAUAGAUCAUGAGUAAUGACUACUGAGUAAUUUCAGUGCAGUAUUUCUUUAUUGUAUACAAACAUCUACGACAUUGUGACUUAUUUCCAGCAAGCCGCAUAUUCUGAGCUCAUGUUUUGAUAUAAUACGUUACAGACGAAAAACUUUACAUGCGUCAUUGAGAAAUUAAAGAUAGCACACCUGGGUUAUCUUUUUGACGAGGAGUGUAUAUACACGGAUGAGUAGGGAGAUUGUUGAUGCAAUAUUAAGAAAGUCAACCAAGAAAUGUGCAUUGAGAAUGAGGGUCUUUAGCAGCGAACAAUCGUACUAUACGCAAACUUAUUUUCCAAGGCUUUUGAUGAGAGAAACGUGCGUAUGUACGGCAUGAAGAGAAAUAUGCAUUCACAAUAGCGGUGAUCAGCGUAAGAAGCAACAAUCAGGAUACCAAAAGGAACUAACAGCAACGAUCAUCUUGGAAAUGAUUAUACAAUACGAUAAAAACUGAGACUAUUUAUUAUAAAAUAAUUAUAUAACAUGUAUGUAGGAAGAAUUUCAAUGAAUCAGAGUAAUAGCAUUUUACAA